CAGUAGCCGCGGGAAUACGUAGGUGGCAAGCGUUGUCCGGAAUUAUUGGGCGUAAAGGGCUCGCAGGCGGUUUCUUAAGUCUGAUGUGAAAGCCCCCGGCUCAACCGGGGAGGGUCACUGGAAACUGGGAAACUUGAGUGCAGAAGAGGAGAGUGGAAUUCCACGUGUAGCGGUGAAAUGCGUAGAGAUGUGGAGGAACACCAGUGGCGAAGGCGACUCUCUGGUCUGUAACUGACGCUCAUGCACGAAAGCGUGGGGAGCAAACAGGAUUAGAGACCCCUGUAGUCCCUGUCUCUUAUAC
rnacentral:rRNA from 1 species